GGCAAGAGCAAGAACAAGGGCUUCUGAAACCAGAGCAAGUUUGGCCUGUGCAAAGACCCAACAGGAGGCCACCAUGCUUGGCAAAACUGGAAGCUGGUAUUAUUCUCCCCUAUUUUUCAGAAGAGAAAACAGAGAUGUUAAAGAAGUUGCCAAGGUCACACAGCUCUUAAAUGAUGGAACCAAGAUUCUAAUCCAGGUCUAUCAGGUUUCAAAGAUUGUUUUUCCCUAAAGGAUCUCAUCAGCCCAAACCAGCUGUCAUAACAGAACAAAAAGGCAUUACCUAAAGCUUUCUAUCUGA